GGGGGUCAACGAGUUGGCAGCUGGAUGUUGGUAUUUUAUUGGAUUUGUUGACAAGAACAAUACUGAAUCCUCUAACACGAGGGCUGAAAGCAGCUCCUUCUCUUAUAAACUAAAUGAUGUGAGAGUCUCAACUAAUAUCGGUUUGUUUGCGAUCUGGGUUUGAAUGUUUCGCUCCACUGUGGGUUAAAACUGUGACCUCGUGCUGAUGCUCGGCCAUGACUUGAAUUGUCGAGUAACCUCAUAUCUGAUAACAGUAAUGGUUUUCACGAGCCUGCAGACUGUACCAUAAUAACCAGUGACUCACCGUCGUCUGACAAUAUGAAUGACUAAUCCACCUUUCGUAAUUCUUAUUAUAAUGACUGUGUUUUUCUCAAACUGUGAAAUCGAGAAUGUAAUAAUGACCUCGUCAUUUUCAUGCAAUGAAAUAACAUAACGUGUCUCCGCGUGUUUGAUUUCAAGCCACAAAUGUUUACAGAAAGACCCUCAAAAUUCAGUUGAAGAGAGGUAAAAAAAAAAAAAAAAGAGUAGUGUAAGACCACGGUGCUCAGAAGCAGGAAGUGAAGUAAACCACAUGCCUUUGACGUUGACACCUAGCAGACCUUCACUGAUAGUUUACAGAAGUCGUAGCUGGUUUCUUUCCCACGAUGAGACCCGACUGCUGCCCGAUUAUCCUCCGCGUGUCCAUCUUUGUGGCGCUCGUCCUCACGCUGGAUGCUGACGAUGAACAUCCAGAUUGUGAAGUUGAAGUCAAAGUCCGUCAAAACACGGUUUAUGAAGCGGUCGUGGGAGAAGAGCUUCGGAUUAACUGCACAGUUGAAUUCUGCAGCGACGCCCCGCCUCCGGUCUCCUGGUACAAAUGUGGGACGACUGACGUCCGUGUCAGCGUCAGCGGUCACAUUAAAACUGAGUGGAAACCUUUAAAGUCUUUCGUGGGGACAACGUUUUUGAUCUUUCUAAAGGUUCACAGAAACGACUCAGGUGUGUAUCAGUGUAAAAGUGGAGGAAGUGGCAGCCACCACAUCAACGUCUCUAUCGACAGUGAGUGACACCUUGAGAGUAAUGCAUCAAUAAUCAAUAAUAAAGGAACAUUUCCAUCUUUGUAUCAGUAAGACUUAUUAGCAUUGCAUGUGCUUUGUCUUGUAGGUGUUGGAGAGCCUGCCAAUGUUACAGAGAACAACGACACGUGUAAGUAUGAACUCUCGAGGGUUGUGCAGUAAUGCAUCCUGACUGAAGAAACCUGUGUUCUCAUAUUUCCACUGAAUCAUUUAGAAGCCUUCACUGUUUCCCAAAUAACGUGAUUGAAAUCCCUUUUGAGGGGUGGAUAAACAUUCUGAAUGCUUUUCAGGUGAUCUCACAUUGGAGACUUCCACGUUGGCUAAAGGAGCUUAAUUCACUCCCUCACAAUGACAUCGCGGUUACACAUGAAACAUUUCUUAACACAUGUCCGAAAUUGGAUGCAAAAUGUCCUCUUUUACCUUCCAGUGCCUGAGGACCACUUCUGGCCCUUCAUUUUCCGUGCUGUCGGGCUCGCCGUGUUUGUCGUCAUCAUAUUCGUUGUAUGUGUUGCGUCGUGCUGCAGGUGAGAAUUAUUUGGAUUUCUACAGCAGACUUCCUGCCGGAGGUCUAAUCUGACAAACAAAACCGUAUAAAAAAGCCACAAUUAAUACACAAUACAGUACAUAUUCACUAAAAUAAGUAUGGG
ensembl:lncRNA